rnacentral:lncRNA from 1 species
UUUUUUUUUGUCCGCAGUCUCAUCCCAACUUGUGGGGGAAUCAUAGUCUCCAUCAUCCUUUCCUCACUGGGACAAUGCUCUAAUAAUGAUGAUCAUCACACUUUUAUUUACUUACAACUCAAGAAUUACAACUCGAUACUUAGAACAAGAUAUGACUCUAUACGAAUGCCUCCGGCGGUGUACCGGGAUGUGAAAUGAUGCAUGAGUGACAAGUAUGAAAGAAUUAUGAACUGUGGCUUUGCCACAAAUACUAUGUCAACUACAUGAUCAUGCUAAGCAAUAUGACAAUGAUGGAGUUUGUCAUAAAUGGAACGGUGGAAAGUUGCAUGGCAAUAUAUCUCGGGAUGGCUAUGGAAAUGCCACAAUAGGUAGGUAUGGUGGCUGUUUUGAGGAAGGUAUAUGGUGGGUUUAUGAUACCGGCGAAAGGUGCGCGGUAUUAGAGAGGCUAGCAAUGGUGGAAGGGUGAGAGUGUGUAUAAUCCAUGGGCUCAACAUUAGUCAUAAAGAACUCACAUAAUUAUUGCAAAAAUCUAUUAGUUAUCGAAACAAAGUACUACACGCAUGCUCCUAGGGGGUAGAUUGGUAGGAAAAUACCAUCGCUCGUCCCCGACCGCCACUCAUAAGGAAGACAAUCAAUAAAUAAAUCAUGCUCCGACUUCAUCACAUAACGGUUCACCAUAUGUGCAUGCUACGGGAAUCACAAACUUCAACACAAGUAUCUCUCAAAUUCACAACUACUCAACUAGCAUGACUCUAAUAUCACCAUCUUCUUAUCUCAAAACAAUUAUCAAGUAUCAAACUUCUCUUUGUAUUCAAUACACUCAUAAGAGAAUUUUAUUGUUCUUGAAUACCUAGCAUAUUAGGAUUUUAAGCAAAUUAUCAUGCUAUUCAAUACUCUCAAAAUAAUCUAAGUGAAACAUGAGAGUUCAUAUAUUUCUUCAAAAUAAAACUACCAUCAUGCUCUAAAAGAUAUAAGUGAAGCACUAGAGCAAUGACAAACUACUCCGACAGAUAUAAGUGAAGAUCAAUGAGUAGUCGAAUAAUUAUGCAACUAUAUGAAGACUCUCUAGCAUUAAAGAAUUUAAGAUCUUGGUAUUUUAUUCAAACAGCAAGCAAAGAAAAAGAAAAUGACAUUCUAAGAAUAGCAACAUCAUGUGAAGAAGCAAAAUACUUAGGAUCAACCGAUACUAACCGAUAGUUGUUGAAGAGGAAAUGUGGGAUGCCAACUCGGGCAUCCCCAAGCUUAUACGCUUGAGACUUCUUGAAAUAUUAUCUUGGGAUGACUUGGGCAUCCCCAAGCUUGAGCUUUUGUGUCUCCUUAAUUCCUCUCAUAUCACGGUCUCCCUAAAUCUCAAAAGCUUCAUCCACACAAAACUCAACAAAGACUCGUGAGAUAAGUUAGUAUAAACCAUUGCCAAAACCUUAUCAUACUCUGCUGUAGCAAAUCACUAAAAUUAUUAUUCAACAUUGCAUACUAAAUGCAUCUGCAUAUUUAAUAGUCCUAUCCUCAAAUAGAAUCAUUAAAGAAGCAAACAUAUGCAAACAAUGCAAACAUAACAACAAUCUGCCUAAACAGGAUAGUCUGUAAAGAAUGCUGCAACAUCCAUACUUCCCUAGCUCCAAAAAUUAAGAAAGAAAAUUUACACCGUAUUAAAUUUAUCAGAUCUUAAUAUGCAAAAGGUUUCAACAUUUUAUCACAUUCUGACUUUUCUAGGGAAUUAUUGCAACAGUUGUAAACUUUCUGUUUUCAAACAGCAACAUGUAUACUUGUAACAUAGACAUAGUAAAGGCUAUCAAUGCCACUUUUAUUGAAAUAAAAGAUGCAAAACAUUUUUCUAAAUAACAUCAAGCAAAUCCUAUCAAAAUAAAUUGACGCUCCAAGCAAAACACAUAUCAUGUGGCGAAUAAAAAUAUAGCUCUAAGUAAAGUUACCGAUGAAUGAAGACGAAAGAGGGGAUGCCUUCCGGGGCAUCCCCAAGCAUAGGCUCUUGGUUGUCCUUGAAUAUUACCUUGGGGUGCCUUGGUCAUCCCCAAUCUUAGGCUCUUACCACUCCUUGUUCCAUAGUCCAUCGAAUCUUUACCCAAAACUUGAAAACUUCACAACAAAAAACUUAACAGAAAACUCGUAAGCUCCGUUAGCGAAAGAAAAGAAAACACUACUUCAAGGUACUGUAAUGAACUCAUUCUUUAUUUAUAUUGGUGUUAAACCUACUGUAUUCCAACCUCUAUAUGGUUUAUAAACUAUUUUACUAGCCAUGGAUUCAUCAAAAUAAGCAAACAACAUACGAAAAACAGAAUCUGUCAAAAACAGAACAGUCUGUAGUAAUCUGGAUCAAACGUAUACUUCUGGAACUCAUAAAAUUCUCAAAUAAAUUGCUGGACCUGAGGAAUUUAUCUAUAAUAAUCUGCAAAAAUAAUUAACUAAAUAGCACUCUCCAAAUAAAAAUGGUAGCAAUUCUCGUGAGCGUUAAAGUUUCUGUUUUUUACAGCAUGAUCAUAAAGACUUCACCCAAGUCUUCCCAAAGGUUCUACUUGGCACAAAUACUAAUUAAAACACAAAAACUCAAUCAUAACAGAGGCUAGAUAAAUUAUUUAUUACUAAACAGAAGCAAAAAAGUAAGGAACAAAAAUAAAGUUGGGUUGCCUCCCAACAAGCGCUAUCGUAUAACGCCCCUAGCUAGGCAUGAUGAUUUCAAUGAUGCUCACAUAAAGGAUAAGAAUUGGAACAUAAAGAGAGCAUCAUGAAGAAUAUGACUAGCACAUUUAAUCCUAACAUACUUCCUAUGCAUAGGGAUUUUGUGAGCAAAUAACUUGUGGGAACAAGAAUCAACUUGCAUAGGAAAGCAAAACAAGCAUAACUUCAAAAUUUUAAGCACAUAGAGAGGAAACUUGAUAUUGUUGAAAUUCCUACAAGCAUAUAUUCCUCCAUCAUAAUAAUUUUCAGUAGCAUCAUGAAUGAAUUCAACAAUAUUACCAGCACCUAAAGCAGUAUUUUCAUGAUCUUCAAGUAUAGAAUUUUUAUUACUCUCCACAUAAGCGAAAUUCUUCUUAUUCGGAAUAGUGGGAGUAUCAUAAGAGACUCGAAUACUAUAAAUUGUUUCCACAUUAAAAGAGUAAUGUUCAGAAAAAGGGUAAUCAUAAUCAUGAAAAAUUUUAUAAAUAUAAUCACUACUUUUUAUAGAAUAAUUAUCAUCACAAUAAUCAUCAUAAGUGGGACGCAUGUUAUCAUCAUUAUAAAUUUGCAUAUCAAAACUUGGGAAACUAAAAAUAUCAUCUUCAUUGAACGUAGCAUCCCCAAGCUUGGCACAAACAUUAAUUGCAGCAAAUAUAUUCUCGAAAGCAUCAUCUUUAUCAAACAUAGAAUCCCCAAGCUUGGGCCUUUUCAUAUCAUAAGCAUAAUCACUCUCAUAAUUAAUAGUAUGGAUAGCACCAAUAGUAUAGCACUUAUCAUAUUCGUCCAAGCAAGUGCCAAAAAGAUUUUCAAGAUCAUAAGAAGUAUUAUCUUCCACAGUUAUAUUUUCAUGAGGCACAAUAGUAAUAGGAGCAUCAUUAUUUGGGAGAGAUAUGUUUUUACCUCUCUUCCUUUUUCUUUUCUUCUUCUUCACCACAUCAUGCGUGGGUUCAAUCCUCUUUUUGGAGCUCCUUAUUAAUGAGAUUGGUUGAAUAGGAGGCUCCUCCUCGUUACCUGAUUCAUCAUAAGAAAUAAUAGGAGGAUAUUGGGAAGUCUCUUCCCUUUCAUUAGUAUUCUCUUCAUCUUCUAUUUGUUUCCUUUUCUUUAUGUAGUUGGCAAUAUAAGGAUUUUCAAUACAAUUCACCGCACAAUACAUAUAAAUUUCCUCUAGAUCAAAACCAAGAAGUUUAUAACGGGUAAAUUCUGGAAGAUAGUUAGUUAUACGUUUCAUUUCUUUGUAGCCCAUAAGCAAACUAAGUUCAUUAUAAUGUGCAAGGGAAAUCAAGUCAUCACAAUUUUUGGACACGAUUAGAUCAUGAAACAAUUUGCAUCGGAUAGCUAAAUUACCCUGUUCAUUGCAAAGUAUACAAGUACGGCCAAGAAAAUUUAAAUCUUCAGCACAAUCAUCUAGCCUUUCUUGCAACAAUUUAGUUUCUAAGUACUUAUGCCUGUUGCAAUAUCUAUCUUUCCUAUUUGGUGUGUUCGUACAAACCCAAUGUAGUCCACAAAAUUGACAUGUUUAUAGGAGACAACAUAACUAGUGCAAUCAUCAUUAGUAUCAUGGAUAUUCAAAGAAUUCGUACUAACAACAUUGCAAUCAUGCUCAUCAUUCAAAGAUUUAGUGCCAAACAUUUUAUAGAUUUCUUCUUCUAGCACUUGAGCACAAUUUUCCUUUCCAUCAUACUUACGAAAGAUAUUAAAAAGGUGAAGCGUAUAAGACAAACUCAAUUACAUUUUUUAUAGUUUUCUUUUAUAAACUAAACUAGUGAUAAAACAAGAAACUAAAAGACUCGAUUGCAAGAUCUAAAGAUAUACCUUCAAGCACUCACCACCCCGGCAACAGCGCCAGAAAAGAGCUUGAUGUCUACUACACAACCUUCUUCUUGUAGACGUUGUUGGGCCUCCAAGUGCAGAGGUUUGUAGGACAGUAGCAAAUUUCCCUCAAGUGGAUGACCUAAGGUUUAUCAAUCCGUAGGAGGCGUAGGAUGAAGAUGGUCUCUCUCAAGUAACCCUACAACCAAAUAACAAAGAGUCUCUUGUGUCCCCAAUAGACCCAAUACAAUGGUAAAUUGUAUAGGUGCACUAGUUCGGCGAAGAGAUGGUGAUACAAGUGGUAUAUGGAUAGUAGAUAAAGGUAUUUGUAAUCUGAAAAUAUAAAAACAGCAAGGUAACUAAUGAUAAAAGUGAGCACAAAUGGUAUUGCAAUGCGUUGAAACAAGGCCUAGGGUUCAUACUUUCACUAGUGCAAGUUCCCUCAACAAUAAUAUCAUAAUUGGAUCACAUGACUAUCCCUCAACAUGCAACAAAGAGUCACUCCAAAGUCACUAAUAGCGGAGAACGAAUGAAGAGAUUAUGGUAGGGUACGAAACCACCUCAAAGUUAUUUUUUCCAAUCAAUUCGUUGGGUUAUUCCUAUAAGUGUCACAAACAGCCCUAGAAUUUGUACUAGAAUAACACCUUAAGACACAAAUCAACCAAAACCCUAAUGUCACCUAGAUACUCCAAUGUCACCUCAAGUAUCCGUGAGUAUGAUUAUACGAUAUGCAUCAUACAAUCUCAGAUUCAUCUAUUCAACCAACACAUAGAACCUCAAAGACUGUCCCAAAGUUUCUACCAGAGAAUCAUGACGAAAAUGUGUGCCAACCGCUAUGCAUAGGUUCAUGGGCGGAACCCGCAGGUUGAUCACCAAAACAUACAUCAAGUGAAUCACGUGAUAUCCCAUUGUCACCACAGAUAUCCACGGCAAGACAUACAUCAAGUGUUCUCAAAUCUUUAAAGACUCAAUCCGAUAAGAUUACUUCAAGGGCAAAACUCAAUCCAUUACAAGAGAGUAGAGGGGGGAGAAAACAUCAUAGGAUCCAAAUAUAAUAGCAAAGCUCGCGAUACAUCAAGAUCGUAUCAUCUCAAGAACACGAGAGAGAGAGAGAGAGAGAGAGAGAGAGAUCAAACACAUAGCUACUGGUACAUACCCUCAGCCCCGAGGGAGAACUACUCCCUCCUCGUCAUGGAGAGCACCGGGAUGAUGAAGAUGGCCACCGGAGAGGGAUUGCCCCCUCCGACAGGGUACCGGAACAGGUCUAGAUUGGCUUUCGGUGGCUACGGAGGCUUCUGGCGGCGGAACUCCCGAUCUAUUUGUGCUCCCCGAUGUUUUUAGGGUAUAUGGAGAUAUAUAGGCGGAAGAAGUACGUCAGGGGGGCCACGAGGGGGGAGGGCGCGCCCAGGGGGUGGGUGCGCCCCCCUACCUUGUGGCCUCCUCAAAGCUUCCCUUACAUGCACUUCAAGUCUUCUGGGCUUCUUUCCUUCCAAAAAUGGGUUCCGUGAAGUUUCAGGUCAAUUGGACUCCGUUUGGUUUUCCUUUUCUUCGAAACCCUAAAACAAGGUAAAAACAGAAACUGGCACUAGGCUCUGGGUUAAUAGGUUAGUACCAAAAAUGAUGUAAAAGUGUAUAAUAAAGCCCAUAAACAUCCAAAACAGUAGAUAAUAUAGCAUGGAGCAAUCAAAAAUUAUAGAUACGUUGGAGACGUAUCAGAAGACUCCGGCCCAAUUUGGCGGCUCAAGAGGGUCCGGAAUACUGCUGCCAUCGGAACAUCCCCCGAGCAUGCCGUCCUGCAGCUGGUACAAAGAGUCCGUCUCGCCCGUUGAUGAUGCAGUGUCAGAAUAGACGGCCGUCUCACCGCCCUCCACCGAUCCUUCAGAGUAUUCACCGCCGUGGACGCAGCCUACAAAGGCUUGCUUCAUGAUAGAUUGGACAUGGGUGGUCCUUGCGCGCUGAGCUGUUUCGAUGAGGUUGGUGUGGACGUCCGGCUCAGGGCCUGACUCGCCGAUCCGGCCGAUGAAGACGUGAAUUCCGCUGAAGGGGACCCGAUACCCAUACUCAAUUGAGCCGGCCUCGGGGCCCCAGCCUUCGUCGUCGAUGUAGAGCUUGCCGCGACGACUCUUGGUCAUCCGGCUCACAGUGUAUCCCUUGAGCCCUUCAAAGUUGCCCUGCAAGAAAUCAAAUCCACCGUGCGCUGGCCCCACGGUGGGCGCCAACCGUCGUGGAAUUGACACGGCAGAUGUCCUAGAGAAAGGACUUAGUCGUAGGGCCAUCGCAACUAGGAAGCUUAAAGGGGUUAAUCGGGACAAAGGACACGAGAGGUUUUUAUACUAGUUCGGCCCCUUACGAUGAAGGUAAAAGGCUACGUCUAGUUGUGUUGGUAUUGCUGGGGUUUCGAUUACCAAGAGGCUCAACUCGCCGGCUUGGUUACCGAUCUUUUGUUUCUUGCCCUAAGCCGCCACCGGGUCGUCCCCUUAUAUACACAGGUUGACGCCUGGUGGCCUACAGAGUCCCGGCCGGCUCAUAAUCGUGUCCGGCUCGGUGACUUCCUUUACAUGCCUUUCUUUACAAGUCUUUCCUUACAUACGGCGGUUCAUAAUAUCAGACCUUAAGCCGCCUCCAGGCCUUUGGGCCUUCUAUAAGAUUUAAUAAACUAUCAUCUUGAAUGUUUACUAGGCUUCUUGUGUAACCCGCCAUUGGGGCUGACCCGGCCCCUUCUGGGCGGGUCAUAACUAAUAGUUAUAUCCCCAACACAGGGGCUAAACGCCAGGGUUCCCGGCGUCUGGCCCUGGAGUCCGAGAAGGACUCUUGCCUUUCGGAUGAAACCGACUUCGUGGAGGCUUUUACUCCAAGUUUCGACCCCAAGGCUCAACAUAUAAAUAGAGGGACAGGGAUAGCACCCAAGACACAUCAAGAAACACCAAGCCGUGUGCCGGCAACCCCAUCCCCUCUAGUUUAUCCUCCGUCAUAGUUUUGUAGUGCUUAGGUGAAGCCCUGCGGAGAUUGUUCUUCACCAACACCGACACCACGCCGUCGUGCUGCCGGAACUCAUCUACUACUUCGCCCCUCUUGCUGGAUCAAGAAGGUGAGGACAUCAUCAAGCUGAACGUGUGCUGAACGCGGAGGUGCCAUAUGUUCGGUACUUGAUCGGGACGGAUCGUGAUGGUGUACGACUACAUCAACCGCGUUGAUAAACGCUUCCGCUUACAGUCUACGAGGGUACGUGGAUUAUGUUGGGGGACGUAGUAAUUUCAAAAAAAAUCCUAUGCACACGCAAGAUCAUGGUGAUGCAUAGCAACGAGAGGGGAGAGUGUUGUCUACGUACCCUCGUAGACCGAAGCGGAAGCGUUGAUGCAACGUAGAGGAAGUAGUCGUACGUCUUCCCGGUCCAACCGAUCCAAGCACCGUUACUCCGGCACCUCCGAGUUCUUGGCACACGUUCAGCUCGAUGACGCUCCCCGGGCUCCGAUCCAGCAAAGCUUCGGGGAGGAGUUCCGUCAGCACGACGGCGUGGUGACGAUCUUGAUGUUCAACCGUCGCAGGGCUUCGCCUAAGCACCGCUACAAUAUGACCGAGGUGUAAUAUCGUGGAGGGGGGCACCGCACACGGCUAAGGAACGAUCACGAAGAUCAACUUGUGUGUCUAUGGGGUGCCCCCUACCCCCGUAUAUAAAGGAGUGGAGGAGGGGAGGGCCGGCCCUCUCUAUGGCGCGCCCUAGGGGAGUCCUACUCCCACCGGGAGUAGGAUUCCCCCUUUCCUAGUCCAACUAGGAGUCUUUCCAUGUAUUAGGAGUAGGAGACAAGGAAGGGGAAGGGAGAAGGGAAGGAAGGAGGGGGCGCAGCCCCUCCCCCUAGUCCAAUUCGGACUAGGCCUUGGGGGGCGCGCGGCCUGCCCUGGGCAGCCCCUCUCUCUUUCCCGUAUGGCCCAAUAAGGCCCAAUACUUCUCCCGGCGAAUUCCCGUAACUCUCCGGUACUCCGAAAAAUACCCGAAUCACUCAGAACCUUUCCGAAGUCCGAAUAUAGUCGUCCAAUAUAUCGAUCUUUACGUCUCAACCAUUUCGAGACUCCUCGUCAUGUCCCCGAUCUCAUACGGGACUCCGAACUCCUUCGGUACAUCAAAACUCAUAACUCAUAAUAUAACUGUCAUCAAAACCUUAAGCGUGCGGACCCUACGGUUCGAGAACAAUGUAGACAUGACCGAGACACGUCUCUGGUCAAUAACCAAUAGCGGAACCUGGAUGCUCAUAUUGGCUCCUACAUAUUCUACGAAGAUCUUUAUCGGUCAGACCGCAUAACAACAUACGUUGUUCCCUUUGUCAUCGGUAUGUUACUUGCCCGAGAUUCGAUCGUCGGUAUCCAAUACCUAGUUCAAUCUCGUCACCGGCAAGUCUCUUUACUCGUUCCAUAAUACAUCAUCCCGCAACUAACUCAUUAGUUGCAAUGCUUGCAAGGCUUAAGUGAUGUGCAUUACCGAGAGGGCCCAGAGAUACCUCUCCGACAUUCGGAGUGACAAAUCCUAAUCUCAAAAUACGCCAACCCAACAAGUACCUUUGGAGACACCUGUAGAGCACCUUUAUAAUCACCCAGUUACGUUGUGAUGUUUGGUAGCACACAAAGUGUUCCUCCGGUAAACGGGAGUUGCAUAAUCUCAUAGUCAUAGGAACAUGUAUAAGUCAUGAAGAAAGCAAUAGCAACAAACUAAACGAUCAAGUGCUAAGCUAACGGAAUGGGUCAAGUCAAUCAGAUCAUUCAUCUAAUGAUGUGAUCCCAUUAAUCAAAUAACAAUUCUUUGUCUAUGGUUAGGAAACAUAACCAUCUUUGAUUAAUGAGCUAGUCAAGUAGAGGCAUACUAGUGACACUCUGUUUGUCUAUGUAUUCACACAUGUAUUAUGUUUCCGGUUAAUACAAUUCUAGCAUGAAUAAUAAACAUUUAUGAUGAAAUAAGGAAAUAAAUAAUAACUUUAUUAUUGCCUCUAGGGCAUAUUUCCUUCAGUCUCCCACUUGCACUAGAGUCAAUAAUCUAGUUCACAUCGCCAUGUGAUUUAACAGCAAUAGUUCACAUCACCAUGUGAUUAACACCCAUAGUUCACAUCGUCAUGUGACUAACACUCAAAGGGUUUACUAGAGUCAGUAAUCUAGUUCACAUAUCUAUGUGAUUAACACCCAAAGAGUACUAAGGUGUGAUCAUGUUUUGCUUGUGAGAUAAUUUUAGUUAAGGGUCUGUCACAUUCAGAUCCGUAAGUAUUUUGCAAGUUCUAUGUCUACAAUGCUCUACACGGAGCUACUCUAGCUAAUUGCUCCCACUUUCAAUAUGUAUCUAGAUUGAGACUUAGAGUCAUCUAGAUUAGUGUCAAAACUUGCAUCGACGUAACCUUUUACGACGAACCUUUUGUCACCUCCAUAAUCGAGAAACAUAUCCUUAUUCCACUAAGGAUAAUUUUGACCGCUGUCCAGUGAUCUACUCCUAGAUCACUAUUGUAUUCCCUUGCCAAAAUCAGUGUAGGGUAUACAAUAGAUCUGGUACACAGCAUGGCAUACUUUAUAGAACCUAUGGCCAAGGCAUAGGGAAUGACUUUCAUUCUCUUUCUAUCUUUUGUUGUGGUCGGGUUUUGAGUCUUUACUCAACUUCGCACCUUGUAACACAAGCAAGAACUCUUUCUUUGACUGUUCCAUUUUGAACUACUUCAAAAUCUUGUCAAGGUAUGUACUUAUUGAAAAAUCUUAUCAAGCGUCUUGAUCUAUCUCUAUAGAUCUUGAUGCUUAAUAUGUAAGCAGCUUCACCGAGGUCUUUCUUUGAAAAACUCCUUUCAAACACUCCUUUAUGCUUUGCAGAAUAAUUCUACAUUAUUUCUGAUCAACAAUAUGUCAUUCACAUAUACUUAUCAGAAAUGUUGUAGUGCUCCCACUCACUUUCUUGUAAAUACAGGCUUCACCGCAAGUCUGUAUAAAACUAUAUGCUUCGAUCAACCUAUCAAAGCGUAUAUUCCAACUCCGAGAUGCUUGCACCAGUCCAUUGAUGGAUCGCUGGAGCUUGCAUAUUUUGUUAACACCUUUAGGAUUGACAAAACCUUCUAGUUGCAUCGUAUACAACUCUUCUUUAAUAAAUCCAUUAAGGAAUGCAGUUUUGUUUAUCCAUUUGUCGGAUUUCAUAAAAUGCGGCAAUUGCUAACAUGAUUCGGACAGACUCAAGCAUAGAUACGAGUGAGAAACUCUCAUUGUAGUCAACACCUUGAACUUUGUCAAAAACCUUUUUCGAUAAGUCUAGCUUUGUGGAUAGUAACACUACUAUCAACGUCCGUCUUCCUCUUGAAGAUCCAUUUAUUUUCUAUGGCUUGUCGAUCAACGGGCAAAUCCAUCAAAGUCCAUACUUUGUUCUCAUACAUGGGUCAUAUCUCAGAUUUCAUGGUCUCAAACCAUUUCGCGGAAUCUGGGCUCAUCAUCGCUUCCUCAUAGUUCGUAGGUUCGUCAUGGUCUAGUAACAUGACUUCCAGAACAGGAUUACUGUACCACUCUGGUGCGGAUCUCACUCUGGUUUACCUACGAGAUUCGGUAGUAACUUGAUCUGAAGUUACAUGAUUAUCAUCAUUAGCUUCCUCACUAAUUGGUGUAGUAGUCACAAGAACAGAUUUCUGUGAUGAACUACUUUCCAAUAAGGGAGAAGGUACAAUUACCUUAUCAAAUUUUCUACUUUCCUCCCACUCACUUCUUUCGUGAGAAACUCCUUCUCUAGAAAGGAUCCAUUCUCAGCAAUGAAUAACUUGCCUUCGGAUCUGUGAUGGAAGGUGUACCCAACAUUUUCUUUUGGGUAACCUAUGAAGAUUUACUUCUCCGAUUUGGGUUCGAGCUUAUCAUGUUGAAACUUUUUCACAUAAGCAUCGCAGUCCCAAACUUUAAGAAACGACAGCUUAGGUUUCUUGCCAAACCAUAGUUCAUACGGUGUCGUCUCAACGGAUUUAGAUGGUGCCCUAUUUAACGUGAAUGCAGCUGUCUUUAAUGCAUAACCUCAAAAACGAUAGUGGUAAAUCGGUAAGAAACAUCAUAGAUUUGCACUAUAUCUAAUAAAGUACGGCUAUGACGUUCGGACACACCAUUAUGCUGUGGUGUUCCAGGUGGCACGAAUUUGUGAAACUAUUCCACAUUGUUUUAAUUGAAGACCAAACUCGUAACUCAAAUAUUUGUCUCCGCGAUCAGAUCGUAGAAACCUUAUUUUCUUUUCACAAUGAUUUUCCACUUCACUCUGAAAUUCUUUGAACUUUUCAAAUGUUUCAGACUUAUGUUUCAUCAAGUAGAUAUACCCAUAUCUGCUCAAAUCAUCUGUGAAGGUCAGAAAAUAAUGAUACCCGCUGCAAGCCUUGAUAUUCAUCGGACCACAUACAUCAGUAUGUAUGAUUUCCAACAAAUCUGUUGCUUGCUCCAUUGUUCCGGAGAAUGGCGUUUUAGUCAUCUUGCCCAAGAGACAUGGUUCGCAAGCAUCAAGUGAUUCAUAAUCAAGUGAUUCCAAAAUCCCAUCAGCAUGGAGUUUCUUCAUGCGCUUUACACCAAUAUGACCUAAACGGUAGUGCCACAAAUAAGUUGCACUAUCAUUAUUAACUUUGCAUCUUUUGUCUUCAAUAUUAUGAAUAUGUGUAUCACUACGAUCGAGAUCCAAUGAACCAUUUUCAUUGGGUGUGUAACCAUAUAAGGUUUUAUUCAUGUAAACAGAACAACAAUUAUUCUCUAACUUAAAUGAAUAACUGUAUUGCAAUAAACAUGAUCAAAUCAUAUUCAUGCUCAACGCAAACACCAAAUAACACUUAUUUAGGUUCAACACUAAUCCCGAAAGUAUAGGGAGUGUGCGAUGAUGAUCAUAUCAAUCUUGGAACCACUUCCAACACACAUCGUCACUUCACCCUUAACUAGUCUCUGUUUAUUCUGCAACUCCCAUUUCGAGUUACUAAUCUUAGCAACUGAACCAGUAUCAAAUACUGAGGGGUUGCUAUAAACACUAGUAAAGUACACAUCAAUAACAUGUAUAUCAAAUAUACCUUUGUUCACUUUGCCAUCCUUCUUAUCCGCCAAACAUUUGGGGUAGUUCCGCUUCCAGUGACCAGUCCCUUUGUAGUAGAAGCACUUAGUCUCGGGCUUAGGUCCAGACUUGGGCUUCUUCACUUGAGCAGCAGCUUGCUUGUCGUUCUACAUGAAGUUCCCCUUCUUCCUUUGCCGUUUUAUUGAAACUAGUGGUCUCGUCAACCAUCAACGUUUGAUGUUUUUCUUAAUUUCUACCUUCGUCGAUUUUAGCAUCACGAAGAGCUUGGGAAUUGUAUCUGUUAUCCCUUGCAUAUUAUAGUUCAUCACGAAGUUCUACUAACUUGGUGAUGGUGACUAGAGAAUUCUGUCAAUCACUAUUUUAUCUGGAAGAUUAACUCCCACUUGAUUCAAGCGAUUGUAGUACCCAGACAAUCUGAGCACAUGCUCACUAGUUGAGCGAUUCUCCUCCAACUUUUAGCUAUAGUACUUGUUGGAGACUUCAUCUCUCUCAACUCGGGUAUUUCUUGAAAUAUUAACUUCAACUCCUGGAACAUCUCAUAUGGUCCAUGACGUUCAAGACGUCUUUGAAGUCCCGAUUUUAAGCCGUUAAGCAUGGUGCACUUAACUAUCAAGUAGUCAUCAUAUUGAGCUAGCCAAACGUUCAUAACGUCUGUAUCUGCUCCUGCAAUAGGUCUGUGACCUAGCGGUGCAUCAAGGACAUAAUUAUUCUAUGCAGCAAUGAGGAUGAACCUCAGAUCACGGAUCCAAUCCGCAUUAUUGCUACUAACAUCUUUCAACACAAUUUUCUCUAGGAACAUAUCAAAAUAAACAUAUGAAAGCAACAAGGCGAGCUAUUGAUCUACAACAUAGAUAUGCAAAUACUACCAGGACUAAGUUCAUGAUAAAUUAAAGUUCAAUUAAUCAUAUUACUUAAGAACUCCCACUUAGAUAAACAUCCCUCUAAUCAUCUAAGUGAUCACGUGAUCCAUAUCAACUAAACCAUGUCCGAUCAUCACGUGAAAUGGAGUAGUUUUCAAUGGUGAACAUCGCUAUGUUGAUCAUAUCUACUAUAUGAUUCACGCUCGACCUUUCGGUCUCAGUGUUCUGAGGCCAUAUCUGCAUAUGCUAGGCUCAUCAAGUUUAACCUGAGUAUUCUGCGUGUGCAAAACUGGCUUGCACCCGUUGUAGAUGGACGUAGAGCUUAUCACACCCGAUCAUCACGUGGUGUCUGGGCACAACAACUUUGGCAACGGUGCAUACUCAGGGAGAACACUUUUAUCUUGAAAUUUAGUGAGAGAUCAUCUUAUAAUGCUACCGUCAAUCAAAGCAAGAUAAGAUGCAUAAAAGAUAAACAUCACAUGCAAUCAAUAUAAGUGAUAUGAUAUGGCCACCAUCAUCUUGUGCUUGUGAUCUCCAUCUCCGAAGCACCGUCAUGAUCACCAUCGUCACCGGCGCGGCACCUUGAUCUCCAUCGUAGCAUCGUUGUCGUCUCGCCAAUCUUAUGCUUCCACGACUAUCGCUACCGCUUAGUGAUAAAGUAAAGCAUUACAGCGCGAUUGCAUUGCAUACAAUAAAGCGACAACCAUAUGGCUCCUGCCAGUUGUCGAUAACUCGGUUACAAAACAUGAUCAUCUCAUACAAUAAAAUUUAGCAUCAUGUCUUGACCAUAUCACAUCACAACAUGCCCUGCAAAACCAAGUUAGACGUCCUCUACUUUGUUGUUGCAAGUUUUACGUGGCUGCUACGGGCUUAAGCAAGAACCAAUCUUACCUACGCAUCAAAACCACAACGAUAGUUUGUCAAGUUGGUGCUGUUUUAACCUUCGCAAGGACCGGGUGUAGCCACACUCGGUUCAACUAAAGUUGGAGAAACUGACACCCGCCAGCCACCUGUGUGCAAAGCACGGCGGUAGAACCAGUCUCGCGUAAGCGUACGCGUAAUGUCGGUCCAGACCGCUUCAUCCAACAAUACCGCCGAACCAAAGUAUGACAUGCUGGUAAGCAGUAUGACUUAUAUCGCCCACAACUCACUUGUGUUCUACUCGUGCAUAUAACAUCAAACCAUAAAACCUAGGCUCGGAUGCCACUGUUGGGGGACGUAGUAAUUUCAAAAAAUUUCCUACGCACACGCAAGAUCAUGGUGAUGCAUAGCAACGAGAGGGGAGAGUGUUGUCUAUGUACCCUCGUAGACCGAAGCGGAAGCGUUGACGCAACGUAGAGGAAGUAGUCGUACGUCUUCCCGGUCCAAUCGAUCCAAGCACCGUUACUCCGGCACCUCCGAGUUCUUGGCACACAUUCAGCUCGAUGACGCUCCCCGGGCUCCGAUCCAGCAAAGCUUCGGGGAGGAGUUCCGUCAGCACGACGGCGUGGUGACGAUCUUGAUGUUCAACCGUCGCAGGGCUUCGCCUAAGCACCGCUACAAUAUGACCGAGGUGUAAUAUCGUGGAGGGGGGCACCGCACACGGCUAAGGAACGAUCACGAAGAUCAACUUGUGUGUCUAUAGGGUGCCCCCUACCCCCGUAUAUAAAGGAGUGGAGGAGGGGAGGGCCGGCCCUCUCUAUGGCGCGCCCUAGGGGAGUCCUACUCCCACCGGGAGUAGGAUUUCCCCUUUCCUAGUCCAACUAGGAGUCCUUCCAUGUAUUAGGAGUAGGAGACAAGGAAGGGGAAGGGAGAAGGGAAGGAAGGAGGGGGCGCAGCCCCUCCCCCUAGUCCAAUUCGGACUAGGCCUUGGGGGGCGCGCGGCCUGCCCUGGGCAGCCCCUCUCUCUUUCCCGUAUGGCCCAAUAAGGCCCAAUACUUCUCCCGGCGAAUUCCCGUAACUCUCCGGUACUCCGAAAAAUACCCGAAUCACUCAGAACCUUUCCGAAGUCCGAAUAUAGUCGUCCAAUAUAUCGAUCUUUACGUCUCAACCAUUUCGAGACUCCUCGUCAUGUCCCCGAUCUCAUCCGGGACUCCAAACUCCUUCGGUACAUCAAAACUCAUAAACUCAUAAUAUAACUGUCAUCGAAACCUUAAGCGUGCGGACCCUACGGUUCGAGAACAAUGUAGACAUGACCGAGACACGUCUCUGGUCAAUAACCAAUAGCGGAACCUGGAUGCUCAUAUUGGCUCCUACAUAUUCUACGAAGAUCUUUAUCGGUCAGACCGCAUAACAACAUACGUUGUUCCCUUUGUCAUCGGUAUGUUACUUGCCCGAGAUUCGAUCGUCGGUAUCCAAUACCUAGUUCAAUCUCGUCACCGGCAAGUCUCUUUACUCAUUCCGUAAUACAUCAUCCCGCAACUAACUCAUUAGUUGCAAUGCUUGGAAGGCUUAAGUGAUGUGCAUUACCGAGAGGGCCCAGAGAUACCUCUCCGACAUUCGGAGUGACAAAUCCUAAUCUCGAAAUACGCCAACCCAACAAGUACCUUUGGAGACACCUGUAGAGCACCUUUAUAAUCACCCAGUUACGUUGUGACGUUUGGUAGCACACAAAGUGUUCCUCCGGUAAACGGGAGUUGCAUAAUCUCAUAGUCAUAGGAACAUGUAUAAGUCAUGAAGAAAGCAAUAGCAACAAACUAAACGAUCAAGUGCUAAGCUAACGGAAUGGGUCAAGUCAAUCAGAUCAUUCAUCUAAUGAUGUGAUCCCAUUAAUCAAAUAACAACUCUUUGUCUAUGGUUAGGAAACAUAACCAUCUUUAAUUAAUGAGCUAGUCAAGUAGAGGCAUACUAGUAACACUCUGUUUGUCUAUGUAUUCACACAUGUAUUAUGUUUCCGGUUAAUACAAUUCUAGCAUGAAUAAUAAACAUUUAUCAUGAAAUAAGGAAAUAAAUAAUAACUUCAUUAUUGCCUCUAGGGCAUAUUUCCUUCAGAUUACACUCUCCCAUCUCGUUGCUAUGCAUCACCAUGAUCUUGCGUGUGCGUAGGAAAUUUUUAAAAUUACUACGUUCCCCAACAAUCAGGUCACCGGAAAGGAGUUUCGGGCACCCCCGGCAAAGAUAUGGGCCUUAUGGGCCAAGUGAGGGAACACACCAACCCUAGUGCGCUCCUAUAGAGGCCAGCCCUAUGAGGAGGAGAAGGAAAGAGGGGAGGGCAAGGAAAGUGUGGAUUAAGAUUCCUACUUUCUUCCCUCCCCCUCUUUCCUUCCACCUCGGUUAUAUAUGGCAGGGGGCGCGCGGCUUGGGAGGGACUCCAAGUAGGAUUCCUCCUACUUGGGCACCUCCUAUGGCUGCUCCUCCCUUCCUCCCACCUAUAUAUAUGAGGAGGGGGCGCCUAGCACACAACAGACAAUUGCCUAGCUGUGUGCGGUGCUCCCCUCCAUAGUUUACACCCUCGGUCAUAUCUUCGUAGUGCUUAGGCGAAGCCCUGCGAGGAUCACUUCACCAUCACCGUCACUAUGCCGUCGUGCUAACGGAACUCGUCUAUUACCUCGACAUCUUGCUGGAUCAAGAAGGCGAGGGACGUUACUGAGCUGAACGUGUGCAGAACUCGGAGGUGUCGUGCGUCCGGUACUUGAUCGGUCGGAGCUAGAAGAAGUCCGACUACAUCAACCACGUUUUCAAACGCUUCCGCUUACGGUCUACAAGGGUAUGUAGACACACUUUCCCCUUGUUACUAUGUAUCUCCAUGGAUAGAUCAUUGCGUGUGCGUAGAAUUUUUUUUGUUUUUCAUGCAACGUUUCCCAACAAUUAUGCCAAAUAAGUGAUCAUGCAUAGGUUUUCGUUGUGGCUUAAUGUUUGGGAACUAUGGACCUUUAGCAAUAAUGUCUCUUUCUAGCUCUUUUGAUCAGCCCCCUUUAUUUACCACACACACACCCAUUCAAGAGAAAGCCGAAUAAUAUUUGUUUGUAGUGUUAACACUACAUACGGUAACAAACUCAUAGCCGAAAUCCAACCUAUCACGCUUGGUGGAUCGUUCAUUGGCCAGCGGAGUCCUCAACAUAAGAUCAAGAAGGGUGACGAAGCCACAUUUACACACACAAAUGCGCAUAUAGUAGCAAAGGCCAUGGAACCAGCAAGAGGCUGUAACACCAUGUUGAGAUAUACUACACAGAUUUUUGGCAUAAUCUCACCCACCUAUCAGCUAAGUUCCUCUAGAAAAUUUAAUCCACAAGUUCUAUCAAGUCCAUUAAAAUUAACAGCAUGGGAUUGAGCAUGUUUAAACAUCACUCCCCUACAAUUUUUCAACUCCCAAGUCUUGAAAGACUUUCUUUUGUGCAAAGUUGUACUUGGUUAAUUUCAUUUUAUUUCAAAAAUAGUCCCACGACAAGUCUUAGUUGUCUAAACUAAUGAAAACAAAGGCUACAAAAUUAUUUCAGCUACUGGAGCAAAACCUUUGUAUCAACUAUCAAGACUCACUCCCAUCCACACAUAUUACACAUACUACUACUACAUCUACUCUGAGUAUCCAAGAGCAAAAGACGGGGGUCGUAUGACAUACCUUCACGUUGCGAAUUUACACACUUCUCUUCCUUACUCUUGCAUUCCUCGUUGUCCUGGCAUAGAUCAACUCCUGUGAUAACAAAAUGUAAAUAAACUCCAAGGGGCUAAAUAAGAACAAGAGCAAAGCAAAGCUUAUUCUNNNNNNNNNNNNNNNNNNNNNNNNNNNNNNNNNNNNNNNNNNNNNNNNNNNNNNNNNNNNNNNNNNNNNNNNNNNNNNNNNNNNNNNNNNNNNNNNNNNNNNNNNNNNNNNNNNNNNNNNNNNNNNNNNNNNNNNNNNNNNNNNNNNNNNNNNNNNNNNNNNNNNNNNNNNNNNNNNNNNNNNNNNNNNNNNNNNNNNNNNNNNNNNNNNNNNNNNNNNNNNNNNNNNNNNNNNNNNNNNNNNNNNNNNNNNNNNNNNNNNNNNNNNNNNNNNNNNNNNNNNNNNNNNNNNNNAAUCGCAAGGUCAAAAUCAAAUAAAAAUAAAAAGCAAAGUGUUGGAACAUACCAACUUUCAAGCUCCUUGAGCUUAAGUACAACCUCAUUACAAUUUAUUCAUUUACCGCCACAUCUUGAUGUAGAAGUGGUGAUAACCUCCCCCAAGCUUAGGCUCUUGCAAGCCCAAGCCGGCGAGAUCAUUGUGUCGGUUGGUUAGGAGCCUACUCUUGGCUCUAGUUGGAGAAGUUCACGUUCAUGUAGGCGGACGUGCUCCUCAGGGACGACACGGGGUUGCUCAUAUCAUCAAUAGAAACAUGAAGGUCGUUAAGGUCUGCGUAAGUGGUGUAGUCUUGCUGGAGCUGCUCUUCCUCUUUGUCGGUGGUGAGUUCUUCUUCAUCUACUUGUCCAGGUUCUGGCCCUUCUUGGUCAAAAGCCGCAUCUCCUUCCUGUAUAACAUAAUGCAACUUUCCAUUCUCGUGGAGAAACAGCUAGGCAUAGGAGUGGAUAGCAAGUACGCCACUCCGGGAAUUUUGAUACAAUGACGGACAUCAUGCUUUACCUCAUGCUACUUCAUGUGAUUGCCUGCAACAUUAUUAUCAUAGUGAUUAAACCCGUGUUAUUGCAGGUCUGUGCUAUAAUUGCUUCUUACGCCGAUAAACAUGGUCGUCAGCACCAUGCUUGAUUGAGCUGUUUUUCCUUCGUACCUUAUUUCCGUUGUUGUGUUUGUGGUCUAUUCAAAACAUUUGAAAGAACUUUUGAAUCUCCCAUUCACCCCCCCUUGGUCGAUAUACUCUCGGUCCUAACAGAAUUAUUGUUGUAAUAUUUAUCUUUCAACGGCAUAAGAAUUAUGCUAUUUAUCUUUGAAAAUUUUGAGUACUUCGGGUAUAGACCAAAACCGAGAGCAAAGAUUUGGUGGUUGUGGUUGGAUGCCUCAACCCCUAUCACUGCCAAGUUGCCCUAACAUUUGGUGAUGUCCGUUGCCGUGAUUGGCAUUGGAGUUGCCCCAACAUUUGGUGAGGUCUGUUUUGGUGGUCCGCAUUGGAGUUGCCCUAACAAAUUGUAGUUCAUUCCUGUAGCGUCAAACAUCUCAUUACUAUAUAUAUGCUCAAUUAUUAUUUUUAACCCCCAAACAGCAGGAGAGGCUCCCAUUGUAUAUUCAAUUAAAUAAAAGAAAGAUUGUACAUAAUAUACAUACAACCUAGCCACUUUGGGCUAGGUCCAAGAAAAAACCAGCAAACAACAACGGGGAGCUAGUGUCUAAAAAUUUCAGUAAUUAUCUCAGAUGUGCAAAAUAAUUAUAGGCUCAUGCCGUAUUUGCUUGGUUAUGCAACACAAGCUAAUGCAUUCACAGUCGAGUCGGCAUCAUAAACAUACAAAACUAACGUUGCAAAUCUUAUAAUGCACUCCGACAUUGGCCGAAGAUCCAUGGAACUAGUAUAAACUCUUGCGAGAAAAUGUACCUCCAAUGCAGCUCCAAGCAGUAUGCUUAUAUAUAUUUUAAAUAUCAUGAAUCAGACAUGUCUUUAACGAACACUUUGAUAAAUUAAGGGUUUGUGAUGACUAUGGAACUGCCUAUAGAAAAAAAAUCGCAUUUUUGGUAGGCCGCUAUGGAACACUUCUCUACAUUUUUCCUUUUGCAUCAGUCAAUUCAUUGCGAGUCGUUGGAUUAAAAACGAGUGACCAGAUUGUCCUCUUCUUCCUCCAACCACCCCCUUCCCCUCAAAUUGUUCAUCUUCUUCCUCCUACCCAACAAAAAUACGAGCCAUGGUUUCUUCCUUCUCCCUCCCAACCCGUCUCCUGUCUCGCCUCCAACGAGUUCCCGUCUGAUCCCUCAUCGGGGAUGCAAUGUCACUUCCGUCUCUAAUUCGGACUUCUCCAAUCCAAGCUAUGGUCAGAGUUAAAAGCCUCCCUCCCAACCACACAGUCAAACAUGCGACUCGCCUCCACUUGUGACGCCGCGUCGUCAACGGCUCCGCCUCGGGUGUUGCGUCUCCUUUACGAAAAAUCGAUGGGCGCAAUUGCGAUUUUCAAGCAACUGGUUGAUGAUGAAUGGCAACACGGAACAAGUUUUAUUAUAGAUUCUUGCAUUUUCAAUUCCUGCAGAGCAUUCCAAUUUUAUUAUAUGGUUCUUGGAACCGAAGCAUUUGACAAAAUGGAAACAAAAGUAGGCAAAACCUCACUAGAAUAUUUACCAACUUGGACUGGGGACUGACUGACCUCGCAACGACAGCCCACCCCACACGAGGGGAGUGAAGUCCAACACACGCGCACCAACCCUCCUCCUUUCCUUCUCCCCACCUCGCCUCCUCCCCAAACUCCGCAGAUUCUCCUCGCCGCUCUCCAAUCCGGCCGUCCCUGGGCAGUCGCCGUCGCCGCCCGAGCCCCCGACGAAGCAUCGACCCCUUCCCGCCGCCGCCUGCCUCGUCGCCGGCGCAUGAGAGGUGAGCUCCUCCACGCAUCCCGUCUCACCCCCCAUCCCGUCCGUCGGUGCCUUCUUGCCGUCGCUGCCACGUCCUCGGACCAGGAGCGUCCCCGUGCCUCCCUGUACCCACCUCGCUCCGUCUUCUCCUGCCGCGGAAUGCGAUCCGGGUAACCAACGGGUGCCGGUGCGGAUUCGGUCGCCUGCCGGCCGGCCGGCCGGCCGAGAUGUGGAUCAGCUCAUCCUCCGAUGGGCCGCGAGUUCGUGAGGAGGAUGGCGUCGAUGCGUCGCGCUACGCGCUACGCGCCCUCCUCCUUACCCGCAGCUCCCUUGCUAGUAGCCGGUUGGUUCGAUUUGUCUGAAGCCGUAGUUCCAUUGCAGGCGACGAACGUCCUAGGUGGAGAGUAUUUUCCAUGGAAUCAAAUUGAUGAAACUGGCAAUGAGACGUUUCUUGUCCUCGACGCAGGCCGGGUUUUUAGAGGAACACAUUCCAAUGUGGUAUGUUGCUCACCAUACCUGUGGUGGAUGUGCAUCUGAACAACAUCAGAGGCUUGAUCUGCGCUUACUACCCUGUAAAUGAAUGUGCAGACCAGCCACUUGCAACUAACAAGAGUGCUCUUUGACCAUUGCCCGUCUAUGAAUUUCACACUCUGUCCUGCCAAUGAUUUUGGUUAUUGGUGGCAAAUCUUAUCCCUUGGCUGGCAUCUAGGACUCGUGCCUUCAGUUUACGUUUAUUGCGCUGAUUCACUGAUCUUUACGGGUGCUGGCAUCAAUGACCAACUGUUCUCUCCAUUCCCUACUUUCCUCAACAAUGCGCAUUUAUGUGCUGCAUUACUCCGCCUAGCUUUGGGUUGAAAUGGGAGCUCCAGCCUUCCAAUCUUUUUUAUUUUCAUUCAUGUACCAAACAGUUAAUGGUUGUAUUUACUUGAUCACACUUAAGUUUGUCUGCAUAGUCUACAUUUCCAUAUUGAGUUAAUACUUCUGAUCGUUGCUAUUUCCAGUGAAUCAUGGGAGGAUUUUGCUGCUGCCUUUCCACAGACGAUUUUGAGGAAUAUGUUCAUCCAAAUAAUCCUGUCUAUAGACAAUGCAUAUCCCUAAGGCAUUUGUUUCACAACAUGUUUGGGGGGGUAAUGUUACCUCUUACUAUAUGAAUUUUCCAGUAUGCAAAAUGCAACCACAUAUGGUUAUACAUGUACAUUUAAUCUUCUGGUUUCCAAUUUAUCAUACAUCUUCUUAUGGUAGCAUGCUGAUCUAAUUAUCCAAAUUGCCACUGCUAUGUUGAGUACAUGCUAUUUUAUGGCAAAUAGCAUAAUAUGCUAGCUUAUAUGGAGGAGUAUUUUAGAUGGCACAUUUGGUGCCGCUGAUGUUUGUUGGACAAAAAUAUAACACCAAUGGCGAACUGUACAAUGGUCGGUACACAACAUUUAUGGAAGGCAAAAGAUGGUAGAGACUAGAGAGACCACUGACCUGUUCUUGAUCUUGCAUAAGUAUUUAUCUUUUGAUUGUGUUCAACCACAUUUACAUGCUUUAUGGUGUAUGCACAUUGUCUGGGCAGAUUCAUUACAAAGAGAAUUAGAGAAAUCACAAACAAAUAUAGAGCAUGUGUGGCACAUUUCAUUUUCAAUGAUUUUUCAUGUUAUAGUACAUUUAUUUUCAUACUGAAUGCUUAUUCUAACUCCAGUAUUCCUCUUUGGUCCAUGUAGUAUACUGCAGCAUUCCAGAGGCUCGACUCUAGGCCAAGCAACCCAGCUCAAGGAGCUGCGCCAUUGGCAUCCACUAAUCCAAGUACUAAUAUAACUGAGAGUUCGCUGUCUGAAACUUUUCACCUUGUUUCUAGACCACCCCCAUAUGACAUUGACCCUAGAUAUGCCCGAGUGCAAAGAGAGGGACUGGUAUCAAGGCGUGAAAAGUCUAUUAACCUCACGCAUGAAGAGUCCCCAGGUCUUAGACGAAAUGGCAGCAGCUCUGGUGUCGAGCAUUUAGCUGCUCAAAAGAAAAGGAGCAGCACUGAUCCUGAGGGUGAACAUAAGGUGCGUCGUUCUGAAUCGACUAAGAGUCUUUCUGGAAGAGCAUAUAACAGCAGUUAUGCCGUCAUCACUUCAGACGACGAAGAUGUCUGCCCUACUUGUCUGGAAGGUUUGUUCGCAUGUGUUUUUAUCUGAAUACAGAGGCCAUGUUAUGGUGUCUGUGAACAUUUUCUCACUGCUUACUCAUCGUGUAGAGUACACCCCGGAGAAUCCACAGAUCAUAACUAAAUGCUCCCACCAUUUCCAUCUAAGUUGUAUUUAUGAGUGGAUGGAGAGGAGCGACACCUGCCCAAUUUGUGGGAAGGUAGGAGAUUUCGUGCUCCAGACUUUAUAUAUUCCUACUAAGAAAUGCAUUAUGUCUGCAUGCCUGACAGCUCGCAUAAUCUGUUGGGAUUGCAGGAAAUGGAGUUCUGCGAGAGCCCCUGAGAGAUACUUCCAUGCUGGUCGCAUCGGGAAGAGCGGGAAAAAGUAUCUACAGCAUGGGAUGCUGGAGAGUCUGUAAAUAAUACCCUAGUUCUUUGCUGUCGAAAACCUAUCUCGUUCUCGGGAUCAACUUCUUAUGUGUACUCAAGUCAGUCUACCAAAAUGCCGUGCUGGAUAUUUCCUGUAUAUUGUGAAAUGACUAUUUCAGCGGUGGAAUUUGAUAGUACUACUCGCUCCAGAUGGGAAUAUAAGUCGGGCGUGGGUCUUAGGUUUUCGAUUGGCUAGUGAAACAUGUGGUAUGCCAAAAAAAAAAACAAUCUUUAGAUUCGUCGUUGAAUGAUUUUCUAGACAAGAGUUCUUUUUGGCAUAUUACACAUGUUUCAGUAGUCAAAUUGACGACCUAAAAUCAUGUACCUGACUUAUAUUCCCGACCGGAGGGAGUAUUUAAAAAAAAAUUGUUCAAGCUAAUGGGUCCUCGUGAGGGCGUGAAGCACAGCAAAUACUCCCUCCGUUCCUAAAUAUAAGUCUUUUUAGACAUUUUUAAUGGACUACAACAAAUGGAUGUAUGUAAAUAUAUUUUAAAGUAUAUAUUCAUUUAUUUUGCUCCGCAUGUAGUCACUUGUUGGAAUCUCUAAAAAGACUUAUAUUUGAGAACGGAUGGAGUACUACAUUGGCUCAUUAUUGCCGUGACAAUAGCCUACUUCACAUUCACCACUGUCCGAAUCAAGUGUGUGCCCAAGGUGUCAUGUGUUUAAGAGUAUAUACAUCUAAAAGUAAAAGAAAUACUUUAUCAAUCUGUGUAAGCUUUCUAGUCUCUGUCUACCUCCCGCCUCCUUUCAAGCCAAGUAGAGGACUUCGACAGACCAACGCUUGACAGUAAUAGUUGUGGGCGCAACUUACUUUUCUUCUUCCAAAACGAAGGCAAAAAGAUUUGUCACAUCAAUCAAUUAAGCAUAAGAGAAUUGCUCAGUUAAUUGACAGAAAACAGGCAAAAAAACGGUCACGGUCCGCUCUAAGUUUCAAAAGUUCACCCAAAAUAUAUGAUCUUCAUCGAUGUGAGCUGUAUAAGGACAAUUUUGAGCACGCACAUACACCCUCCAUCCGAAAAAGCUUGUCCUAAGCUUCAAAUCAAUGUAUCUAGCAUUAACUAGAGACAAGCUUUUUCGGACGAGGGAGUAGUUCCUACCGUAGUCCUUCAAAUGGCAGAAAGAUUAGUUUGGCCUCUAACUGUUAUUCUUUAGUUGGAUCAAAGUGUCGGAUCAAAGUGUCGGUUAAUGAAAACAGAACAUGGGUCUGACAUAUUCCAAAACAUUACUGAGCUAAGUUGCCAAAAUUCUCAUAAUCUUGUAGAAAGUACGAAUAACAACAGCAAGGAGAAAUGCAUUUCCCAAAGAUACACAAAUAUGGCUCACUUGCUCAAAAACAAUUGAUCAGAAAACGAAUAGCAGUUGCAAGCAACAAGCCUCAGUUACACAAUGACAGCCAGGUGCACCUAGAAUACAGAGAAGCUCAACCAGAAAACUGGUAGCAUUUCAUUUCCAAAUGGAAGGAGAGAGCCAGCAAGCUGGCAUUUUUAUUGGGUAUCGUUUGAUGGCCAGCGCCGGUACCAAACCAUUCUAUCCGAUAAUUUUAGCGCCUACAGGUUGGCAGCGGUCUUGAGGGCGUUGCCCUUCUCCUCCAAGCUCGUGAGCAGACUG